rnacentral:rRNA from 1 species
GCUGGCGGCGUGCCUAACACAUGCAAGUCGAGCGGGGUCCAUCCAGUGGCAACACUGGGGAAGACCUAGCGGCGAACGGGUGAGUAACACGUGAGGAACUUGCCCCGGAGUACGGGAUAACUCGAGGAAACUCGAGCUAAUACCGUAUGCCCUCUUCUGGUCGCAUGGCCGGAUGAGGAAAGAUUUAUCGCUUCGGGAGGGUCUCGCGGCCUAUCAGCUAGUUGUGGGGUAACGGCCCACCAAGGCAUCGACGGGUAGCUGGUCUGAGAGGACGAUCAGCCACACUGGGACUGAGACACGGCCCAGACUCCUACGGGAGGCAGCAGUGGGGAAUCUUGCGCAAUGGGCGAAAGCCUGACGCAGCAACGCCGCGUGGGGGAUGAAGGCCUCUCGGGUUGUAAACCCCUUUCAGCAGGGACGAAAUCAGACGGUACCUGCAGAAGAAGCUCCGGCUAACUACGUG